CCUACGGGAGGCAGCAGUAGGGAAUCUUGGGCAAUGGGCGCAAGCCUGACCGAGCAACGCCGCGUGAAGGAAGAAGGCUUUCGGGUUGUAAACUUCUUUUGUCAGGGAAGAGUAGAAGACGGUACCUGAAGAAUAAGCCACGGCUAACUACGUGCCAGCAGCCGCGGUAAUACGUAGGUGGCCAGCGUUGUCCGGAUUUACUGGGUGUAAAGGGCGUGUAGCCGGGUUGACAAGUCAGAUGUGAAAUCCUUCGGCUUAACCGAAGAACUGCAUUUGAAACUGUUGAUCGUGAGUGCUGGAGAGGCAGACGGAAUUCCUAGUGUAGCGGUGAAAUGCGUAGAUAUUAGGAGGAACACCAGUGGCGAAGGCGGUCUGCUGGACAGUAACUGACGGUGAGGCGCGAAAGCGUGGGGAGCAAACAGGAUUAGAUACCCCAGUAGUC
rnacentral:rRNA from 1 species